AGACGGGCGAGUAACGCGUGGGAAUCUACCCAUCACUACGGAACAACUCCGGGAAACUGGAGCUAAUACCGUAUACGUCCUUCGGGAGAAAGAUUUAUCGGUGAUGGAUGAGCCCGCGUUGGAUUAGCUAGUUGGUGGGGUAAUGGCCUACCAAGGCGACGAUCCAUAGCUGGUCUGAGAGGAUGAUCAGCCACACUGGGACUGAGACACGACCCAGACUCCUACGGGAGGCAGCAGCU
rnacentral:rRNA from 1 species